AUGCAAGUCGAACGCUCUUGCGGCUUCGGUCGCAAGGGAGUGGCGCACGGGUGAGUAGCGCGUGGGAACCUGCCCUGUUGUGGGGGAUAACCGAGGGAAACUUCGGCUAAUACCGCAUGCGCCCCGGGCCCUGGUCUUCGGAUUAGGUUUCGGGGGAAAGAUUUAUCGCAGCAGGAGGGGCCCGCGUCGGAUUAGGUAGUUGGUGGGGUAACGGCCUACCAAGCCUGUGAUCCGUAGCUGGUCUGAGAGGAUGAUCAGCCACACUGGGACUGAGACACGGCCCAGACUCCUACGGGAGGCAGCAGUGGGGAAUAUUGGACAAUGGGCGCAAGCCUGAUCCAGCAAUGCCGCGUGAGUGAUGAAGGCCUUAGGGUUGUAAAGCUCUUUCGCCCGCGACGAUGAUGACGGUAGCGGGAGAAGAAGCCCCGGCUAACUUCGUGCCAGCAGCCGCGGUAAUACGAAGGGGGCGAGCGUUGUUCGGAAUCACUGGGCGUAAAGGGCGCGUAGGCGGCCCUCUUAGUCGCGUGUGA
rnacentral:rRNA from 1 species